CUUCUCUUGGACAUAGAACUGAAAGACAGUUCUUUGUCUGGUUUCUUUAAGAUCACUAUCCUGCUUUUCCUCUCUCUGAAGACUAACCUUUCAUUAUACAUUAGGGUUUAUGGCAAUCUGUGCAGCUGCCACCAGUCACACAUUCUUCCCUAGAGAAGUUUUCUAAUCAUCACAACACCUGUCCUGUGCCCAUGAAGACAUCAUAAACCAUGCCAUUGUCCUUGGCUGGCUGGA
rnacentral:lncRNA from 11 species